UCCCUCAUGGUCCAAUGGCUAAGACUCUGUGCUUCCAAUGCAGGGGGCCCAGGUUCAAUCUCUGGUUGGGAAA
rnacentral:tRNA from 1 species